rnacentral:rRNA from 1 species
GAUGAACGCUGGCGGCGUGCCUAGUACAUGCAAGUCGAGCGAACAGAUGAGGAGCUUGCUCCUCUGACGUUAGCGGCGGACGGGUGAGUAACACGUGGAUAACCUACCUAUAAGACUGGGAUAACUACGGGAAACCGGAGCUAAUACCGGAUAAUAUAUUGAACCGCAUGGUACAAUAGUGAAAGACGGUUUUGCUGUCACUUAUAGAUGGAUCCGCGCCGCAUUAGCUAGUUGGUAAGGUAACGGCUUACCAAGGCAACGAUGCGUAGCCGACCUGAGAGGGUGAUCGGCCACACUGGAACUGAGACACGGUCCAGACUCCUACGGGAGGCAGCAGUAGGGAAUCUUCCGCAAUGGGCGAAAGCCUGACGGAGCAACGCCGCGUGAGUGAUGAAGGUCUUCGGAUCGUAAAACUCUGUUAUUAGGGAAGAACAAAUGUGUAAGUAACUAUGCACGUCUUGACGGUACCUAAUCAGAAAGCCACGGCUAACUACGUG